rnacentral:lncRNA from 1 species
GUGCACUGUUAAGUUUAUUUUCAUUUAAUAUAACACAAAGUUAACAGACAUAUAUUUUAAGGUAACAAAAUGUUAUCAUUGAUAAGGAUAUUUUAGUAUAGCCAGAGAUUUAACAUUCAAAGUUUACUUACUUUUAAAAUGUAAAAUGCACAAUUAUAAUAUUCAGAUCUUACAAUUUUAAAGUUUUAACAAAACAUUUGCAAGUAAAUUCAAGAAGUGUCCUAUGUUUAAGACAAAAAUAAUACUAACAAAGUGCCAAUGGAUUAGACAAUGCCAUUUAUCUGUUUUCUUCUAGGGAGGGGGAUAAGAGUACAUGAGAAUAGGGAAAUGUCAUUGUUUUAUCAUGGUUUAGAGCUAGUAAUGUGAAGUAGUCUUUGUAAUAAUGAUGAGUGAUUAUUUGUAGUAGAUCAGCCACAAUAAGGAAUCGGCUUAAGGACAAGCACAGCCACAGCGUCUCAUAGGCUCUUCAGCCAUUGCUGAAUAGUUUACUAUUCAGUGUUUUUAAAACUACAGUUUCAAACUAAGAUGAACCAAAUCCCACCAACAUCUAGAAAUGGUUUCUAAGAAUGUCAUAUACAUAAAAGAUUCUCCAUCACUACUGUCCACACUUAAAACAGGCCUGGAC